GACGAACGCUGGCGGCGUGCUUAACACAUGCAAGUCGAACGGAAAGGCCCUGCUUUUGUGGGGUGCUGGAGUGGCGAACGGGUGAGUAACACGUGAGUAACCUGCCCUUGACUUUGGGAUAACUUCAGGAAACUGGGGCUAAUACCGGAUAGGAGCUCCUGCUGCAUGGUGGGGGUUGGAAAGUUUCGGCGGUUGGGGAUGGACUCGCGGCUUAUCAGCUUGUUGGUGGGGUAGUGGCUUACCAAGGCUUUGACGGGUAGCCGGCCUGAGAGGGUGACCGGCCACAUUGGGACUGAGAUACGGCCCAGACUCCUACGGGAGGCAGCAGUGGGGAAUAUUGCACAAUGGGCGGAAGCCUGAUGCAGCAGCGCCGCGUGCGGGAUGACGGCCUUCGGGGUGUAAACCGCUUUCGCCUGUGACGAAGCGUGAGUGACGGUAAUGGGUAAAGAAGCACCGGCUAACUACGUG
rnacentral:rRNA from 1 species